GAUGAACGCUGGCGGCGUGCCUAAUACAUGCAAGUCGAGCGAACAGACGAGGAGCUUGCCCCUCUGACGUUAGCGGCGGACGGGUGAGUAACACGUGGAUAACCUACCUAUAAGACUGGGAUAACUUCGGGAAACCGGAGCUAAUACCGGAUAAUAUAUUGAACCGCAUGGUUCAAUAGUGAAAGACGGUUUUGCUGUCACUUAUAGAUGGAUCCGCGCCGCAUUAGCUAGUUGGUAAGGUAACGGCUUACCAAGGCGACGAUGCGUAGCCGACCUGAGAGGGUGAUCGGCCAAACUGGAACUGAGACACGGUCCAGACUCCUACGGGAGGCAGCAGUAGGGAAUCUUCCGCAAUGGGCGAAAGCCUGACGGAGCAACGCCGCGUGAGUGAUGAAGGUCUUCGGAUCGUAAAACUCUGUUAUUAGGGAAGAACAAAUGUGUAGUAACUAUGCACGUCUUGACGGUACCUAAUCAGAAAGCCACGGCUAACUACGUG
rnacentral:rRNA from 1 species